rnacentral:rRNA from 1 species
AUUGAACGCUGGCGGCAGGCCUAACACAUGCAAGUCGAACGGUAACAGGGAUCUGCUUGCUGAUUCGCUGACGAGUGGCGGACGGGUGAGUAAUGUCUGGGAAACUGCCUGAUGGAGGGGGAUAACUACUGGAAACGGUAGCUAAUACCGCAUAACGUCGCAAGACCAAAGAGGGGGACCUUCGGGCCUCUUGCCAUCGGAUGUGCCCAGAUGGGAUUAGCUAGUAGGUGGGGUAACGGAUCACCUAGGCGACGAUCCCUAACUGGUCUGAGAGGAUGACCAGCCACACUGGAACUGAGACACGGUCCAGACUCCUACGGGAGGCAGCAGUGGGGAAUAUUGCACAAUGGGCGAAAGCCUGAUGCAGCCAUGCCGCGUGUAUGAAGAAGGCCUUCGGGUUGUAAAGUACUUUAAGCGGGGAGGAAGGGAAGAAAGUUAAUACCUUGCCUUAUUGACGUUACCAGCAGAAUAAGCACCGGCUAACUCCGUG